rnacentral:tRNA from 1 species
UGCCCCAUGGCUGAGUUGGUUACAGCGUCCGACUGUUAUUAUUAUGGCAUCGGAAGGUCGUGAGUUCGAGCCUCACUGGGGCAG